UCAUUCUAAGUUACCUCUAUCUUUCAAGGUUUUAGGACUCUGAUUAAAAAUCAAAUUAAUCAGAAAAUUUGUAUUUUGCGAUUUGAUAAUGCCAAAGAAUAUAUGCAUGCUACUUCUGCGUCCUUUUUCUCUUCCAAAGGCAUUUUUCAUCAAAAGUCUUGUGCAUAUACUCCACAAUAAAAUGGAGUUGCAGAGCACAAAAAUCGUCAUUUGUUAAAAGUUACUCGUGCUCUUCUUUGUCAUAUGCUUGUCGUUGAACGUUUUUUGAGUGAUGAUGUCCUUAGUGCAUGCUAUCUCAUUAAUCACAUGCCAUUCUUUGUUUUGGUCAAAGUAUCACCCUUCUCUCUUCUGUUUUCCUCCUCUCCAUAGUACUCAUUACCUUUCAAUGUUUUUUGAGUGUGUUAUAUUCAUUUCUUUGAUCCUGGUCAUGACAAGCUUGCUUCUCGCUCCAUGAAAUGUAUUUUCCUUGGUUAUUCUUAAACACAAAAGAAGUAUUGAUACUAUAGUCCUCUAUAUCGCUAUUUUGUAAAUGUGGAUGUCAUUUUCAAUGAGUCCACAUCUUAUUUCUCUAAUCAUAAAACAUUUCUUGACUCCAAUCGAGAUCCCUUACACUUACCCAUCCAUAUCUGCCAGUUGGUAUUUCUUUGGAACUAGACCUGUCUUCGUCUAUAGCACUAGAACUGUCGUCCUCUCAUAAGGAACCACCUCACCCUCUACGAGUUUAUACUCGACGAUCUAAGCCAUCAAAGCUUGUGACCUAAUUCGUCACAUUGCUGUCUGCAGAUCAUGCAUCUGUUAUCUGUUCUGAUCUUGAGUCAUUGCUCUUCGUAAAGAUAAACGUAGUUAUGUAACUAAACAUCUUAUCAAUCAUUAUGUCACUUCUAAUUCGUUGUCGCCUUCAUUUUCAUGUUUCACAUUCUAGCUUUCUAGUGUUUUUGUUCCUAAGAUAGUGACAGAAACUUUAUCUGAUCUUGAGUGACGGAAGGCUAUGGAAUUAGAGGUGGCAGCUUUACAUGAGAAUAAGACUUGGGAUCCCGUUUCUUCACCACCUGGAAUACGUCCUGUUGGUAACAGUGACUUACAUGAAGAAGUUUAUAUGGAGCAACCAACUGGGUUUGUUGCUCGAGGGGUGUACUAGAAGUGCAAGUUGAAAAAAGGCUUUAUAUGAGUUAAAGCAACUUCCAAAGGCAUGGUUAGAGAAGUUUUUUGAGGUUGUCAUAGAAUUUGGUCUUCAAAGAUGAGAUUGCCAAUUGAAACAGUUUCUACAAAAACACUUUCAGACUAAAGAUUUAGGUAAGCUCCAAUAUUUCUUGAGUAUUAAAAUCGCUAGGUCUCGAGCAUGUAUCAACUUAUCUUAGAGAAAGUAUGUAUUUGAUCUCUUAGAUGAGAUGGGUUUUCUUGGAACUCGUCCAGUUGAUAUUGCCAUGGAUCCUAAUGUGAAGCUUUUAAAUGAUGAAAGAGAAAUCUAUGGGGAACCAAGAAAGUAUCAUCGUUUGGUUAGAAAAGUGAAUUAUCUUACCAUCACAUGACCAAUUAUUUUCUAUGCAGUUAUUAUCAUUAGUCAAUUAUUGGAUGCUACUUGGGUUUCUCAUUGAGAAGCAGUGAUACGUAUUCUUCGGUAUUUAAAAAAUGCUCCGGGCCUUGAAUUAUUGUAUAAACUUAAUGGACAUAUCAGAAUAAAAGGCUUACAAAUGCAGAUUGGAUAGGAUCUCUAUCAAAUAGACAAUCCACUACACGUUUCUGCCCUUUCCUUGGUGGUAAUCCUAUCUUUUGGAAAAGUAAGAAACAAGUGUGCUAACAAGGUCAAGUACAGAAGUAGAAUAUAGAAUAUAGGGCAAUUACUCAUAUUAAAAGUGAGUUGACAUGGUUGCAACAUUUUUCAAAAAAUUAAUCUUUCACCUCCUGCCCCUAUUCCAAUUUUUUGUGAUAAUCAAGCUGCUCUACAUACUGCAUCCAAUCAGUCUUCCAUAAAAGAAUUAAAUACAUUGAAGUUGAUUGUCACUUUGUUCGAGACAAGAUAGUAAGUGGUGAUAUAUGUACAUCAUUUGUAAAUAUAGGGGAUUAGCUUGAUGAUAUGUUUACAAAGUCGGUGAAUAGAAAUCGAUUGAGGUUUCUUUGUUCAAAGCUAGGCUUAUAUGAUAUAUAUGCUCUAGUUUGAGAGAGUGUUAAGGAAAUAAGUAUAUUAGAAUCAGAGGCGAAUCCAGGAGUUUAAGUCAGCACGACCGUCGACCACAAUAAAAUAUUAAG